rnacentral:rRNA from 1 species
AUGAAGAUUGUGGCGUGGAAUUGUCAGGGUUUGGGGAAUGGCCCGACAAUUCGAGGACUCCUGGACGUCCAGAAAAAGGAGGACCCCGAUGUGCUCUUCUUGUUUGAGUCUAGAACAAAUAAACAAGGUCUUGAAUGACUUAGGUGGAAACGUUGGGCUCCAUAA